GACGAACGGAGCUAGCGUUGUUCGGAAUCACUGGGCUUAAAGAGCUCGUAGGCGGAUUAUCAAGCGCUUUGUGAAAGCCCUCGGCUCAACCGAGGAAUAGCUUGGCGAACUGAUAAUCUUGAGGCAGGUAGGGGCAACUGGAACUCAUGGUGGAGCGGUGGAAUGCGUAGAUAUCAUGAGGAACGCCAGAGGCGAAAGCGAGUUGCUGGGCCUGUCCUGACGCUGAGGAGCGAAAGCGUGGGGAGCAAACGGG
rnacentral:rRNA from 1 species